rnacentral:rRNA from 1 species
UACAGAGGGGGCAAGCGUUGUUCGGAAUUACUGGGCGUAAAGGGCGCGUAGGCGGCCUUCUAAGUCGGGUGUGAAAUCUCGGGGCUUAACUCCGAAACUGCAUUCGAUACUGCCGUGCUUGAGGACUGGAGAGGAGACUGGAAUUUACGGUGUAGCGGUGAAAUGCGUAGAUAUCGUAAGGAAGACCAGUGGCGAAGGCGGGUCUCUGGACAGUUCCUGACGCUGAGGCACGAAGGCCAGGGGAGCAAACGGG